rnacentral:rRNA from 1 species
UACGAAGGGGGCUAGCGUUGUUCGGAAUUACUGGGCGUAAAGCGCGCGCAGGCGGUCUUCCAAGUCAGUGGUGAAAGCCCGGAGCUCAACUCCGGAACUGCCAUUGAAACUGUUAGACUUGAGGACGAGAGAGGUGAGUGGAAUUCCCAGUGUAGCGGUGAAAUGCGUAGAUAUUGGGAGGAACACCAGUGGCGAAGGCGGCUCACUGGACCGGUACUGACGCUGAGGCGCGAAAGCGUGGGGAGCAAACGGG